rnacentral:tRNA from 1 species
UGGAUCACCUCCUAACAGGGAGACAACAAAAUGUUUAAUAUUAUUAUUUUGUCACCUUAGGUCGAUCGGUAUCUCACGUUCUUAAUUUGUUAAGAAUUUCAUUUCCUAAGUUUUUCUAGGUCACACCCAUUAUUUUUCCUGGGCCAUUAGCUCAGGUGGUUAGAGCGCACCCCUGAUAAGGGUGAGGUCCCUGGUUCAAGUCCAGGAUGGCCCAUAUCUCUAUGUUGGGGGUAUAGCUCAGUUGGUAGAGCGCCUGCUUUGCAAGCAGGAUGUCAGCGGUUCGAGUCCGCUUACCUCCACUGAUCACCACCUCUUCCAUAAUCGGUAGAAAGGAAAUUUUUUGAGUUGUGAUCAAAUUCUGAAAGAAUCUAGCUUCCUAAUGAAAUCAUUAAGAUGCUGGACUCAUUGAAUUAAUUUCAUUGUUUUCAGAGAACCUUGACAACUGCAUAGAUUAUUUUUAAAGACAAUAAGCAUCUUUAAUGAUGCAGAUUUAUUAUUUGUGCAAAUGCAUUAGUAACAAUUCUAUUAAGCUGAUGCUUCAAUAUUUGAAGUUAUUGGUCAAGCUACAAAGGGCUCACGGAGGAUACCUAGGCACACAGAGGCGAUGAAGG